CCCCUAGAUGUUCUGGGCCGCACGCGCGCUACACUGAACAGUUCAACAAGUCUUAACCUUGGCCGAUAGGUCUGGGUAAUCUUUGAACGCAGUUCGUGAUUGGGAUAGACCUUUGCAAUUAUGGGUCUUCAACGAGGAAUUCCUAGUAAACGCAAGUCAUCAGCUUGCAUUGAUUACGUCCCUGCCCUUUGUACACACCGCCCGUCGCACCUACCGAUUGAAUGGUCCGGUGAAAUCUCGGGACGGCGGCUUGGUCGCUUGCGUCCGACUGCUGAAACUUGAUUAAACCAUAUCAUUUAGAGGAAGGUGAAGUCGUANCA
rnacentral:rRNA from 1 species